rnacentral:rRNA from 1 species
GAUUGAACGCUGGCGGCAGGCCUAACACAUGCAAGUCGAGCGGAUGAAGGGAGCUUGCUCCUGGAUUCAGCGGCGGACGGGUGAGUAAUGCCUAGGAAUCUGCCUGGUAGUGGGGGAUAACGUCCGGAAACGGGCGCUAAUACCGCAUACGUCCUGAGGGAGAAAGUGGGGGAUCUUCGGACCUCACGCUAUCAGAUGAGCCUAGGUCGGAUUAGCUAGUUGGUGGGGUAAAGGCCUACCAAGGCGACGAUCCGUAACUGGUCUGAGAGGAUGAUCAGUCACGCUGGAACUGAGACACGGUCCAGACUCCUACGGGAGGCAGCAGUGGGGAAUAUUGGACAAUGGGCGAAAGCCUGAUCCAGCCAUGCCGCGUGUGUGAAGAAGGUCUUCGGAUUGUAAAGCACUUUAAGUUGGGAGGAAGGGCAGUAAGUUAAUACCUUGCUGUUUUGACGUUACCAACAGAAUAAGCACCGGCUAACUUCGUG